AAGAGACUACGUACAUCGGACUUGAAAAAACCUUUGGCCAAAAAAUGUAAAGUUCCAAGGGAAAUUUUAACAUUUUCUUUUAACAAAAAGAUUCAUAAGAAAUACUAUCAGCAUUAUGCUGAUGACGCCAAAAAUACGACGAUUGAUUUUGUUAAUGAUGAUUGCCUGGCUGAAAUAUUCAAGCGUGUGGCAGUAUGUGAAAGACCGAAAAUUGCAUUGGUAUGCAAAAAAUGGCGAAGGAUCCUUAAAAAAACUUGGUCCGAUGUCAGCAAACUUGAACUCACUCAUUGGCAAUGUGAUACUCGUCCAAGUUCUUUAAAAAAUCCUAGAAUACGAGUGUUUCGGGGGCAUGACUGGCGACACCCUCUAUUCUAUUUUACGAGAUC